rnacentral:rRNA from 1 species
GGUGCUUGCAUCAUGAUUUACAUUUGAGUGAGUGGCGAACUGGUGAGUAACACGUGGGAAACCUGCCCAGAAGCGGGGGAUAACACCUGGAAACAGAUGCUAAUACCGCAUAACAACUUGGACCGCAUGGUCCGAGUUUGAAAGAUGGCUUCGGCUAUCACUUUUGGAUGGUCCCGCGGCGUAUUAGCUAGAUGGUGGGGUAACGGCUCACCAUGGCAAUGAUACGUAGCCGACCUGAGAGGGUAAUCGGCCACUUUGGGACUGAGACACGGCCCAAACUCCUACGGGAGGCAGCAGUAGGGAAUCUUCCACAAUGGACGAAAGUCUGAUGGAGCAACGCCGCGUGAGUGAAGAAGGGUUUCGGCUCGUAAAACUCUGUUGUUAAAGAAGAACAUAUCUGAGAGUAACUGUUCAGGUAUUGACGGUAUUUAACCAGAAAGCCACGGCUAACUACGUGCCAGCAGCCGCGGUAAUACGUAGGUGGCAAGCGUUGUCCGGAUUUAUUGGGCGUAAAGCGAGCGCAGGCGGUUUUUUAAGUCUGAUGUGAAAGCCUUCGGCUCAACCGAAGAAGUGCAUCGGAAACUGGGAAACUUGAGUGCAGAAGAGGACAGUGGAACUCCAUGUGUAGCGGUGAAAUGCGUAGAUAUAUGGAAGAACACCAGUGGCGAAGGCGGCUGUCUGGUCUGUAACUGACGCUGAGGCUCGAAAGUAUGGGUAGCAAACAGGAUUAGAUACCCUGGUAGUCCAUACCGUAAACGAUGAAUGCUAAGUGUUGGAGGG